rnacentral:rRNA from 1 species
UACGUAGGGUGCGAGCGUUGUCCGGAAUUAUUGGGCGUAAAGAGCUCGGUAGGCGGUCUGUCGCGUCGAAUGUGAAAACCCCGGGGGCUCAACCCCGGGCCUGCAUUCGAUACGGGCAGACUAGAGUUCGGUAGGGGAGUCUGGAAUUCCUGGUGUAGCGGUGAAAUGCGCAGAUAUCAGGAGGAACACCGGUGGCGAAGGCGGGACUCUGGGCCGAUACUGACGCUGAGGAGCGAAAGCGUGGGGGAGCGAACAGG